UACAGAGGUGGCAAGCGUUGUCCGGAUUUAUUGGGCGUAAAGAGCUCGUAGGCGGUUUGUCGCGUCUGCCGUGAAAGUCCGGGGCUCAACUCCGGAUCUGCGGUGGGUACGGGCAGACUAGAGUGAUGUAGGGGAGACUGGAAUUCCUGGUGUAGCGGUGAAAUGCGCAGAUAUCAGGAGGAACACCGAUGGCGAAGGCAGGUCUCUGGGCAUUAACUGACGCUGAGGAGCGAAAGCAUGGGGAGCGAACAGG
rnacentral:rRNA from 1 species